rnacentral:lncRNA from 10 species
AAGAAAUCAAAAGGCAAACAGAAUCUUACGUUGGCUACUUCCAGUUUUACUCCAGCCUUGGCUCCGGGAGCAAUGACUCCAGAUGAAGAUAUUUGCAACUGUAAUCCAGCUCCAGUGGGGAGUUCAAAGGCAUUCUCCAUGAAGAUGUAGUGAAGAAAAAAGUCAUUCUUUGAGCCCUUCCUGAUGACCUCUCCAAUCUGUAGACCCAACAAGGGAGAGCAAAUAAAAGUAAGUCUUUUUAAAGUCGGUUUUGUUAAUUACAACCUCCCAUACAUUGGAGAGUAAUUCCUCUUUAUCUGGAAAGGAAGGACUAGCAUAUUUUGAUGAGCUGAAUAGUUUGAUAAAUAAAGAUCAAACUGAUGUUUUUACCGUUUUCAGUGAAUCAGGAUAUAAGAAAUUUCACUAGAUAGAUAUCAUGUCAUUUUCAAGUGGACUCAGAAGGCUCUUAAGAAUAUUGCUGGGCCUCAGAGCUUUAUGGACUUUAAGUAUCAUAUAUGCCAUGGCUUAAUUCUGGUGUUCUGGAGUCUGACUGUAAGUGAAGGUGUACUUGAAAUGUAUUAUAUUAUGAUAAAAUCAAUUUUUUGAAACCAAAGGCCUAUUGAGAUGAUGUACAUAUCAAUUUGCAUUGGGUUUUAUUUUUUAAAUAAUAUUUCAAUAAAAUAGCUUGAGACCUGU